rnacentral:ncRNA from 2 species
UCGCUUGCUCCGGGGUGUCCGCAUGUUGCGGGCUGAGAUGGCCAGUGCCAAACCCGCGAACUUGAUCCGGUUCAUACCGGCGGAAGAAGAGCUGUCUUACCCUGU